rnacentral:lncRNA from 1 species
CCAUGCAAGACUUUCAAAUCGAAUAGUUGGUUCACUUUAGUUGGAUUAUAGUGCUCGACGAAGAUUGAUCCUCCAUCUAUUAGUGUCUUAACUCCUUCGGUACUCUGAAUUUGGUAGGAUUUGACUUGGAUACCACUUACUAGAUUUCGAGAGCUGAAAGAUAAUAGAUAAAGCGAAAGUAAAAAAUCAUGCUAAUAAUAAUACCAAAAGUACAGAGAAAUCAUAACAAUCAUAAAAAUAUUAGAAUUUAACAUGAUUCGAUCGAGAUCUACAUCUACACAGGGACCAA